rnacentral:rRNA from 1 species
AUUGAACGCUGGCGGCAGGCCUAACACAUGCAAGUCGAGCGGAUGAAGGGAGCUUGCUCCUGGAUUCAGCGGCGGACGGGUGAGUAAUGCCUAGGAAUCUGCCUGGUAGUGGGGGAUAACGUCCGGAAACGGGCGCUAAUACCGCAUACGUCCUGAGGGAGAAAGUGGGGGAUCUUCGGACCUCACGCUAUCAGAUGAGCCUAGGUCGGAUUAGCUAGUUGGUGGGGUAAAGGCCUACCAAGGCGACGAUCCGUAACUGGUCUGAGAGGAUGAUCAGUCAGAAGGGAAUGGAGAACGGGUGCAGAACCCUAGGGGAGGCAGUGUGGGGGAUGUUUGGAAGAUGGUCGAAUGCUGAAUCCAGACAUGCCGGGGGUAUGAAGAGGAUGUUCAUAUUUUGAAGCAUUUAAGUUAGGAAGGAAGGAAAGUAAGUUAAUACUUUGCUGUUUAGCCGUGACCAGCAAAAAAGACGACGACAAGUUUGAUG